GAUGAACGCUGGCGGCGUGCCUAAUACAUGCAAGUAGAACGCUGAAGGAGGAGCUUGCUCUUCUGGAUGAGUUGCGAACGGGUGAGUAACGCGUAGGUAACCUGCCUGGUAGCGGGGGAUAACUAUUGGAAACGAUAGCUAAUACCGCAUGACAACAGUUAUUGCAUGAUAACUGUUUAAAAGGGGCAACUGCUCCACUACCAGAUGGACCUGCGUUGUAUUAGCUAGUUGGUGAGGUAACGGCUCACCAAGGCGACGAUACAUAGCCGACCUGAGAGGGUGAUCGGCCACACUGGGACUGAGACACGGCCCAGACUCCUACGGGAGGCAGCAGUAGGGAAUCUUCGGCAAUGGACGGAAGUCUGACCGAGCAACGCCGCGUGAGUGAAGAAGGUUUUCGGAUCGUAAAGCUCUGUUGUAAGAGAAGAACGAGUGUGAGAGUGGAAAGUUCACACUGUGACGGCAUCUUACCAGAAAGGGACGGCUAACUACGUG
rnacentral:rRNA from 1 species